ACCACUCCGCCAACCACCAGGAUGCCCGGCAUCAGAACAUUCCAGGCAUUCCCGUGAUUGGCAGAUAGCAGGUUGAUUGACAUGUCGGACCCCGCGAACACCGGGUACUGUUUUGACCAUUUCUGCCUGUCACACCACCCUGGAAUAUUGACCUCUGCCUGCACUGACCCCAAGACUGCCUGCCGUUCUGUACCUUAUGGACUCUGAUCUGGAUUACUGACCUCUGCCUGCCCUUGACCUGUUGUUUUGUCUGCCCCCUGUUCUAGUAAUACACUUUUGUUACUUCGACACUGUCUGCAUCUGGGUCUUCUCCAAUAUUUCCAGUGCAAUCCCUCCUGGUUUUGAACCUUGCCUGUCCUGAUGCCAUAUCCGCCUGCCUGACCACUCUGCCUGUUCUGACCUCGAGCCUGCCUAUCCCCUGUUACUGUUUGGACUUGGAGCUGUUCACUUAACCCCUGCCUGUCCUGACCUCGAGCCUGCCUAUCGCCUGGUACUGUUUGGACUCGGAGCUGUUCACUGAACCCCUGCAUGUCCUGACCUCGAGCCUGCCUAUCACCUGAUACUGUUUGGACUCUGACCUGGUUUAUGAACUCUCGCCUGUCCCCGACCUGCCUUUUGCCUACCCCCUUUUGGUGUAAUAAAUAUCGGAUCUCAACCAUCUGCCUCCUGUGUCUGCAUUUGGGUCUCGCCUUGUGCCCUUACACCCACAAUGGAUGGAAGAAAUGUCAAGUUAUGUAUCACUAGAUUGUACUUAUUACAAAACUAAAGGUAUACUGUGGAACUUUCAUAAGGUCUGGAUGCCAUAUGGAAUACAGUCAACAAAAGGAGUCUGUAUUGAAAAUAUGCCCACGUCAUGGGAGAUACCUAUUAGGCAAUCCCUAGCUGCUGUGCUGCUCAGUCCUAGUCUUGGGGGUCUGCCGUACUGUUGGUUGACACUGGUCUUGGCCUUACACACCUGAAACUAACAAUGAAUGUUGGUUUGGUGUGUUGGGUUGGUGCGCUGGGUUGGUGUGUUGGGUUGGUGCGCUGCAGGGACAUAGACCCUUAGGGGCAGGACAAUGGGACCCAGCUACAUUGUGUGCAAGUAAAAAAUAUAUGAAUAUAUAUGUUUCUGUGUGUUAAUGUGUAUGUAUUUUUUUAUUAAACAUUUUAUUUUUCCAAACCUUUCCUUGAGAGAAAAAGAUAAAAGGAAGUUGUGUUGGGGCAUGCAGUC